rnacentral:rRNA from 1 species
AUUGAACGCUGGCGGCAGGCCUAACACAUGCAAGUCGAACGAGUGGCGGACGGGUGCGUAAUGUAUGGGAAAUCGACUGAUGGAGGGGGAUAACUACUGGAAACGGUAGCUAAUACCGCAUACAAUCGGAUGAGUCCAGAUGGGAUUAGCUAGUAGGAGGGGUAAAGGCACACCUAGGUGACGACCCCUAGCUGGUCUGAGAGGAUGACCCGCCACACUGGAACUGAGACACGGUCCAGGCUCCGACGGGAGGCAGCAGUGGGGAAUAUUGCACAAUUGGCGCAAGCCUGAUGCAGCCAUGCCGCGUGUAUGAAGAAGGCCUUCGGGUUGUAAAGUACUUUCAGCGGGGAGGCGUUACCCGCAGAAGAAGCACCGGCUAACUCCGUGCCAGCAGCCGGGGUAAUUC